GUUGAACUCGGAUCAGGUAUGAAUACCCGCUGAAC
rnacentral:rRNA from 1 species